GGCAGUUUAGCUUAAUGGUGAAGCACUCAGCUGGAGUCUGAGGGAUAUAGGUUCGACUCCCAUGGCUGGUU
rnacentral:tRNA from 1 species